UACCAAACCGCGACACCUCUUUUUUCAAUCAGUUCUUCACUGCCAAAAAGUGGCUUGUCAUGAUUAAGAUCUUUGAGGAGCUCGUGGGUAGGAGGGAAAGGGGGAAAAAUAGUUAAUUGUUAGUGGUGGGAGCAACUUCACUCAACAGGACAGGCCAUAGCCGAAAAGUAUUAGAAAAGGUUGAGUUGCCCAGUGCUGACUCCACCAAAGCCUUGUCACCGUCGUCUCCAAAACUCUAUUUUAUGCAAUUUGCAUCGCAAUCAUGUUGUUGCAUAUGUAUGAAGCUGCAUGUUUGGUUUGGGUAUUGAAACCUUAUAAUCAUGUAGAUUUUGGCCAUGCGUUUGGAGUUUCAAACGAAAACCAUGACAUUUAUAAGUUACCAAUGCAUUUUGACUUCCAAUUAUUCCAAAGCCUGAUGGAAGAAUGCAGGUAAUUUUGCCUCAUUUAGGAAAGUUUAGCAUAGUUGUUUAAGGGGAGAAUUA